GAUAACAUAUAGCAUGGGAUAAUGGAAUAGGACCCUGUCCUCCUAUUUUCAGUUGGUUUUGGCAGCGCGAGGACUAGGGUAAUGAUUAAUAGGGAUAGUUGGGGGCAUUAAUAUUUAAUUGUCAGAGGUGAAAUUCUUGGAUUUAUGAAAGAUUAACUUCUGCGAAAGCAUCUGCCAAGGAUGUUUUCAUUAAUCAAGAACGAAAGUUAGGGGAUCGAAGACGAUCAGAUACCGUCGUAGUCUUAACCAUAAACGAUGCCGACCAGCGAUUAGGAGACGUUGAAUACAAAACACCACCAUCGGCGCGGUCGUCCUUGGCGUCUCGGUCCUUCACGGGGCCGGGGCGCGGGGGCGGCUUAGCCCGGUGGCACCGGUGAAUGACUCCCCUAGCAGCUAGUGAGAA
rnacentral:rRNA from 1 species